GAUGAAGAACGUAGCGAAAUGCGAUACUUGGUGUGAAUUGCAGAAUCCCGUGAACCAUCGAGUCUUUGAACGCAAGUUGCGCCUCAAGCCAUUAGGUUGAGGGCACGUCUGCCUGGGCGUCACAUAUCGUUGCCUGAUGCCAGUUUCCUCGUGAUGGGUGACUGUGCAGGGCGAAUGAUGGCCUCCCGUGAGCAUUGUUGCCUCAUGGUUGGUUGAAAAUUGAGUCCUUGGUAGGGAGCGCCGUGAUAGAUGGUGGUUGAGUGACGAACGAGACCCAAUCAUGUGAGACCCCUACCGAAUUUGGCCUUCAUGACCCACAUGCGUCUUUGGAACGCUCAUGACGAGACCUCAGGUCAGGCGGGGCUACCCGCUGAGUUUAAGCAUAUCAAUAAGCGGAGGA
rnacentral:misc_RNA from 1 species